CGGAGAAGCACAGAACUGGUCCAGUUCUCAUGUCUGUAUUUCAAAACGAAGGUGAGAUGAGCCAAUACUGUCAAUAUCAUUGACAUCAACGCAUGCAUACCUACUUUUAUAGGAUUAAAAUUGUCAUUUAAUUUGCUCUCCAUUUAGACUCAUGUACCUGGACAAUGGGAAAAAAAAAACAACCAACACAAAUUUAUGAAUGCUGGGCUCGUACCAUGUUUUUUGCUUAGGAAAUGAGAUCCUACAUAGCACAUACCAAUUCACAGCUACAUAGCUUGUCUAUUUAGAUUCAGAAUAUUUAUAUCUCUAUUUCCUCUUAAAUCUAAUGAGGAAAACCUAAUUUUACUAAAUAUGAUCUCAGAAUUCAAGAUAACACAAUAUAAUACAGUAUAAUUGAAAUUGAGGCUAAUAAAUCAAAUAAAAUGAGAGAGAGAGUGUCCGAAAAUGAAAAACCUACUUUGAACGGAAGGUGUACGGCUGGGGAGCACACCCACACACUGCCAGGCAGUGAGCGAGAGAGAGACAGAGAGUGAGAUCCCGUGACUUCCUCCUGUGGCUUAUCUUCCUCCCUGACUGUGAAGUCCCUGAGAUAUGUAGUUCUUCUGUUCUGAGAACCAGGUGUCAUAAAAGUUGUCAGUCCAUGGAACUGGAGUAUUAACUUUUUUAAUUACACGUGCUUUACAUUAUUUUAUGAUGUGGAAUACCGAUAACAAAAUUAUAAAACCACAACAUACAUGUAUUUAAAGAAUCAUAGAACUGUUUGAGUUGGAAGAGAACAUUAAAGGCUAUGUAGUCUGACUCCCCUGAAAUGAACAGGGAUGCCUGCAGAUAGAUCAGGUUGCUCAAUGCCCUGUCCAGCCUGACCUUGACUUGUCUCCAAGGAAGGGCAUUCAUCACAUCUCCGUGCAACCUGUUUCAUUGUCUCACCACCCUUAUUGUAGAAAUCUUCUUCCUUAUAUCCAGUCUAAAUCUUCUCUUUUUGUUUGAAGUCAUUUCCCCUUGUCCUGUCGCAACAGACUCUGCUAAAGAGUUCGCCUCUUUCUCUCAUACAGCCACCCUUUAGUUACUAAAAGACUGCUCUGAGG
ensembl:lncRNA